rnacentral:misc_RNA from 1 species
CGCACAUUGCGCCCUUUGGUAUUCCGAAGGGCACAUCUGUUCGAGCGUCAUUACACCAAAUCAAGUCUCUUGGUAAUUGAAUGUUGUCUCUUGACACAUUCUAAAGACGUCAGCAGCAUCUCUAGAUCUCAUGCGAUACCAAUAGCGUUUAAGAUCGAAAGGUGCUUGUAAAUUUUCCAGGUUGACCUCGAAUCAGAUGGGGAUACCCGCUGAACUUAA